UCAAUUUAAAGCUUAAUUAGAAAAGUAUUUCAUUUACAUUGAAAAGAUUUUUGUGCAAAUCAAUAUAAAUUGAU
rnacentral:tRNA from 2 species